GUUCUUUUGUGAAGUUUCUAGAAUUUUGCUUACAAAAAACAAAAAAUGAAAGAAAAUUUUAAGCCAAGAUGAGCUGAGUGGAGAUGAAGUCAGCAGCGAACAUUAUAAAAAUUGGGUGGGUCCCUACACCAGCCUGGUCGGAAAGGUCUAAAACCCAAAACUACACACAAGUACACAACACAGACACAACCAAACUACACACAAGUACACAACACAGACACAACCAAACUCAUCUCUCUCUCUCACACACUUCCACUUGCCAUCGCCGACACUUCAAGAAGAAUAAAAAAUAAAGAAAAAGAAAAAAUAAACUCUUUCUGAUUAUUCGAUCUAACACCGCUUCCAUGGAUCGCCGUAUCUACGGUGGCUCCGCCGUCGCUAAUCUCAUUCUCUUCCUCCUACUCUCCUCCUCAUCUGCAUUAUCCAAGAACCCGAACACCUCAUCCGGGUCGGGUCAGAUCAACUCCAACUCUGUCCUCGUAGCUCUCCUCGACUCUCGUUACACAGAACUCUCCGAGCUCGUCGAGAAGGCUCUCCUCCUUCAGACACUCGAAGACGCCGUCGGUCGCCACAACAUCACCAUCUUCGCCCCUCGCAACGAAGCUCUGGAGCGUGACCUUGACCCUGAGUUCAAACGCUUCUUGCUCGAGCCGGGUAACCUCAAAUCUCUCCAAACACUCCUCAUGUUCCACAUUAUCCCCACCCGGGUCGGGUCGGACCAAUGGCCAUCAGAGGAUUCGGGUCGGGUCAAACACGUUACGCUAGCGAACGAUCAUCUCCAUUUGAUCAAAGGAGACGGCAGAAAGAUGGUGGAUUCCGCCGAGAUAAUCCGACCCGACGACUUGACCCGACCCGACGGGUUGAUCCACGGCAUCGAACAGCUUCUCAUCCCUCGCUCCGUUCAAGAGGAUUUCAACCGCCGCCGCAGCCUCCGAUCAAUCUCCGCCGUCUUACCGGAAGGAGCUCCGGAGGUCGACCCGAGAACCAACCGUCUCAAGAAGAAACCCGCUCCGGCACCGGCCGGAUCUCCGCCGGCUCUCCCGAUCAAAUCCGCAAUGGCUCCCGGUCCGUCGCUAGCUCCGGCACCGGCGCCGUGACCGGGAGGCAAGCGCCACCACUUCGACGGCGAAGCUCAGGUCAAAGACUUCAUCCACACGCUGCUGCAUUACGGCGGCUACAACGAGAUGGCGGACAUUCUCGUGAACCUGACGUCGCUCGCGACGGAGAUGGGUCGGUUGGUGUCGGAAGGCUAUGUGCUGACGGUUCUUGCUCCCAACGACGAGGCCAUGGUGAAGCUGACGACGGAUCAGCUGAGCGAGCCUGGAGCUCCGGAGCAGAUCGUGUAUUACCAUAUCAUCCCUGAGUACCAGACGGAGGAGAGUAUGUAUAACUCUGUGAGGAGGUUUGGGAAGGUGAAGUUCGAUACGCUGCGUUUUCCUCAUAAGGUUGUGGCUAAGGAGGCUGAUGGUUCGGUUAAGUUCGGGGACGGUGAGAGGUCGGCGUAUUUGUUUGAUCCGGACAUUUAUACGGACGGUCGGAUCUCGGUUCAGGGGAUUGAUGGUGUUUUGUUCCCUGAAGUGGAGGAGGUUGUUGAAUCGGUUAAGAAACCGGUUAAGAAAGUUGUUCAACCGAGAAGAGGAAAUCUUUUGGAAGUAGCUUGUAGAAUGCUUGGUGCUAUUGGCAAGGACGCUUCUUAUUUCACCAAAUGCCGGUAAAGAACUUAUGUACACACAUUCAAAAAGCUGAUUGAAGAUUUGUCAUUGGGUGUAUAGACAACAACGCUUCAGGAACCAACAAGCAUGGUUUUUGAGUUUUUUUUUCUUAAAUAUAUAUUUUUGGGGGGUGUUUCAUAAUUGGUGUUGGAGUAUGAAUACUGUAAUUAGAUAUAUCAAUCAUUUCUUAAUUAAUUUGGUGGUGUAUGAGAAUGAAAGUAUACAAUUAAUAAAAAGAGGUAACAAAAGAGAGAGAACAUAAACCUUUUCUUUUAUCUUAAGGAUUUGUUGCUUUUUGGACUCGUUGGCUUUUACUAUGAGAAAGGUAUAUUUGCA